rnacentral:ncRNA from 1 species
UUUCACUAGGGGCGUCCACUCAUGUGGGCUGAGAUUAAAGCAAUCGAGCUUUUAGACCCUCAGGACCUGAUCUGGCUCAUACCAGCGUAGGGAAGUAUA